CGGUGGGUGCAGCGGAAGAGGGGGUCCAGGGGGGAGAACUUCUUAGCAGUCAUCCUUUUUAGGAAAAGAGGGAAAAAAUAAAACCCUCCCCCACCAUCUCCUUCUCCCCACCCCUCGCCGCACCACACACAGCGCGGGCUUCUCGGCUCUGCACCGGCGGGCCGGGCGCGUCCUGCCUUCAUUUAUCCAGCAGCUUUUCGGAAAAUGCAUUUGCCGUUCGGAGUUUAAUCAGAAGCGGAUUCCUGCGCCUGGGUGUACCCGGCGCGUCUACCGGCCCCUGAUCCCUGUCUCUCCCCGGGGGAGGCUUGAAGCGGUCCCGCGGACAGGGGUCCAUGUCUGUGCCCGCGCAUGUGCGCGCGCGUGUAUAUUGCCGAGAGGGGGGAAAUCACAGGACUUAUGCAAAUACUGGACUGAAAAUUGUAAUUCAUCUGCCGCCGCCGCUGCCUUCCCCACCCCCCGGCCCCCCCCUUUCGUGCUCUUGAGAUCUCCAGUUGGGAUUCUUACGGACUGACAUUUCUGUGAAGGAGAAGUCUGAGAACCCAUCUGCCAAUUCUGCUCAUUUACACCACUCCCCCACCUCCAGGUUCAUUUGCAAGUUUCAUAGCAGCUAUCGCCGGGAGUUCUGAAGAUCGAUGGGGUCUUUGCCUUACGCAUUUGUUUUGUCUUCACAAAAAAGGAAACUUGACAGAAGAUCAUGCCGUCCUUAAAAAAUACAAGAUCACGGAGGAAGUAGACUGAUAUUGACAAUAAUUAAUAAUAAUGUGCCUCAUGAAAUAAAGAUCCGAAAGGAAUUGAAAUAAAAAUUUCCUGCACCUCAUGCCAAGAGGGAAACACCAGAAUCAAAUGUUCCGCGUGACUGAAGACACCCCCUCAUCCAAGAAUGCACAGCACAUCCAAUAAAAUAGCUGGAUUAUAA